GGCCGGUAUGGGCUUAGAAAGGACUAUAAAGAUGAAGAGGGAAUCAGCCCAUGAAGCGCAUAAUAAUCGACCUAGUACGAAUCGUACUUGUAAAUAUUCGUUUUCUGUUUAAAUUAGGGAUAGAGUUCUAGUCAGAUAAGGAGUCGUCUGUACGGGGCUAUAAAUAGCCACCUUUGUAGAUCUAUAAUCAUCAACAACU
rnacentral:lncRNA from 1 species